rnacentral:rRNA from 1 species
GAUGAACGCUGGCGGCGUGCCUAAUACAUGCAAGUCGAACGGGGAGUCGCAAUACUCUUAGUGGCGAGCGGGUGAGUAACGCGUUGGUACCUGCCCCGAAGCGGGGGAUAACGGACCGAAAGGUCCGCUAAUACCCCAUGUGCUCGGUAACGAGUAAAGGUGAAAACCACUUUGGGAGGGGCAUGCGUCCCAUCAGCUAGUUGGUAAGGUAACGGCUUACCAAGGCGAUGACGGGUAGGGGACCUGAGAGGGUGGCCCCCCACAAUGGAACUGAAACACGGUCCAUACACCUACGGGUGGCAGCAGUAGGGAAUAUUGGUAAUGGGCGCAAGCCUGAACCAGCAACGCCGCGUGUGCGAUGACGGCCUUCGGGUUGUAAAGCACUUUUGACGGGGACGAGGAAGGACGGUACCGGUCGAAUCAGCCUCGGCUAACUACGUG